GCGUUUGUGGAAGAAGCUCGUACCGGGAUGCUGCGGGAGCGAUCGGCGCUCGGGGCCGGAGUCCCGGCCCGGCGGCUGCUCCCGGCGCUGCGCCGAGCUCGGGGCGCUGAGCGGGGACGGCACCGGCACCGGGGGACCGAGGCUGGCUUGGAGCUGCGAUGGGGUUCGGCAGCGGUACGGGGAUCGGCAUCGCCGGAGUCGCUGCGGGGUGGGCGCUGGGGCCGAGCUCGGCAGGGCCGCUCGGGCCGGGGCUCUGCCGGGGCCCGGUUGGGGGAGAACGGCGGCGCUUUCCUCGUACAGACGCGGAACCCGGGCCGGGACCGGCCGGGGCGCGGGGACACGCCGGGCCGGCCCCGGGACCCCCCGAUCCCGCCGGGCCCGCAGCGCCGCCCGCACCCCCCGCGGGAUCGGAGCUCCUCCCUCUCGGGCACCCCCGAGGCCAUCGCACCCCCUCCCGAAGAACAUCGCCCGCCUCCCUCUUCCCCGCGGCCCCAGGAGGUUCCCGCUCGCAGGGCCCCCCGGGAACGAGGGCUCUGGGGCCCGCCGGGGCUCCGGCCACGGACCCGCUCCGGCCGCGGGGAGCCGGGGCCCUGCCGGGGCAGGGAAGAACGGGGGCGGCCGCUCCCUCGUUCCUCCCGUGCUCCGGGACCCCGAGCAGAGCUGCCCGUCUGUCCCCGCGUCCCUUUGUCUGUCCUCAGGCGGCCCCAGGAGCCGGCGCUGACCGUGCCGCGGCUCGGGCACAGGCUGCUCCCAGCUCUGCCUGCGGAACUUCGGCAAUUGCCCCCAGCAGUUCUUUGCCCUGCCAUCCAGAAGGUGCGGCUCCUCUGACACCUGCCAGACGGGGAAGGUCCUGCCUGGGAGGGAAACGGCUACAGCAGAGGAAACCAAGAAACGCUCCAACCGGACGCUGCCGCGCGAGGCAAAGGAGGGAAGGACCGCAGGCAAGUACAGUCAGGAAAUCCGCUUUUAUUAAAUCUCUGCAGCAUUAAAUCCCCCCUUCCCAGCCACGGGCCGGAGGGAGCGCGGCCGGCUGGGCUGUGCCCGGCUGGGGACGGGCACCAAUUCAUCACUGCCCUGCUCAGGGAGGUUUGCCGGCCGUGUCCGGGAUUCACCCAACGGCUGCAAAGGUGCUCGUGUGACUUCCGAGCUCAUUUCCAGAGAUAAAGGAGCCAAACGAGUCCGGAGGGAUCCCUCGCUCCGAAGCAAAGGCGUCGGUCGAGUGUCGCCGCCUGGUCCCGCCUGCGGGGGGGCGUCUCCUCCAGUUUCCCAGGGAGAAGAACAGGAACUCACAGCCACCAAGGCCUGACAGUCCCCUGCAGCCAGAGCUCAGCACACAGCCAGUCAGGCAAUUCCAGCAUCUAAAAGGAAAAAAAAAGAACAAAAAAAGGGCUGCUCCGACCCAGCUCUGAAGCUGCCAAGCCCAAACUGUCCCCGGCGCUCUGGAACAACAGGAUCUUCCCAGGGAUGAUGCACUGGAAGCACAGCCCUCAUUCUCACCCUCCACACGCUCCCAGGCUCACCCCAAAUUCAGGACAAGGGGCCAAAGGCCACUCGGGCCGGGGCUCUCUCUGUCUCUGCGGGCUCAGGGACUGCAGCCACCAGGGCCCUCCAGCACGGACAGCCUGGACCCAGAGCAGAUCCCUGGGCAUUGGCAGUGUCCUGGGCACACCUGGAGACAGAAACCAUCAGCCUCUGGGGACAGCACUUCAUUGCCAGCACACACAGCCUGCCACAUUUAGGGGGGCAGCUCUCGGAGCACAAAGCCCAGUCUGACCCAGUUCUCCUGGGCACCAACACGGACUCCACAGACCCACAGGAAUGAGAAUGUUCUGCUGCUUUGACAAACUUCAGCCCAGCUUUGCAAACCUCAGUCCCUGCAGCUCCUGCUCUCCAGAGCCCCGUUCAGGGCUGGCUCCAGUUCCCUGGAGAACCUGCCCCAGCCCCACUCUGGGCCAGCCUGAGCAGAAGCCACUGGGCUGCACAAGGAAGAACCCUCCCCUGGCUGCUGCAGCUGGAGGGAGAUCCAGCUCCCAAUGGAACCCUGGCAACAGCCUCCCAGAGGGUCUCUCCCCAGCCCUUGGCAGUGGCUCAGGAUGGCAGCAGCUCCAGUGCCAGCUGGGUCCCUGCACGAGUCCUUGUCCCAGCCCUGCCCCACGGACACACACGGGAGACACCCACGGGCACACAGGCCUUGCUUGCACAAUUCCUCACCCACAGCUGAGGGAAAGCCACACAAUAGUAAGAAAUAACCUGGGCUGAGAGCACUCAUCACUCCAGUCCAUCAGGACUUGGAGGCAGUUGGGUAGGCAACAGACCCAAAUUCUAAUCCUACCUCUACAUUU